GAUGAACGCUGGCGGUGUGCCUAAUACAUGCAAGUCAAGCGAACAGACGAGGAGCUUACUCCUCUGACGUUAGCGGCGGACGGGUGAGUAACACGUGGAUAACCUACCUAUAAGACUGGGAUAACUUCGGGAAACCGGAGCUAAUACCGGAUAACAUGUUGAACCGCAUGGUUCAACAGUGAAAGACGGUCUUGCUGUCACUUAUAGAUGGAUCCGCGUCGCAUUAGCUAGUUGGUAAGGUAACGGCUUACCAAGGCAACGAUGCGUAGCCGACCUGAGAGGGUGAUCGGCCACACUGGAACUGAGACACGGUCCAGACUCCUACGGGAGGCAGCAGUAGGGAAUCUUCCGCAAUGGGCGAAAGCCUGACGGAGCAACGCCGCGUGAGUGAAGAAGGUCUUCGGAUCGUAAAACUCUGUUAUUAGGGAAGAACAAAUGUGUAAGUAACUAUGCACGUCUUGACGGUACCUAAUCAGAAAGCCACGGCUAACUACGUG
rnacentral:rRNA from 1 species